rnacentral:rRNA from 1 species
AUUGAACGCUGGCGGCAGGCUUAACACAUGCAAGUCGAGCGGGGUGAAGUGCUUCGGUACUGAUCCUAGCGGCGGACGGGUGAGUAAUGCUUAGGAAUCUGCCAUUUAGUGGGGGACAACAUUCCGAAAGGGAUGCUAAUACCGCAUACGUCCUACGGGAGAAAGCAGGGGAUCUUCGGACCUUGCGCUAAAUGAUGAGCCUAAGUCGGAUUAGCUAGUUGGUGGGGUAAAGGCCUACCAAGGCGACGAUCUGUAGCGGGUCUGAGAGGAUGAUCCGCCACACUGGGACUGAGACACGGCCCAGACUCCUACGGGAGGCAGCAGUGGGGAAUAUUGGACAAUGGGGGGAACCCUGAUCCAGCCAUGCCGCGUGUGUGAAGAAGGUCUUUUGGUUGUAAAGCACUUUAAGCGAGGAGGAGGCUACUGAGACUAAUACUCUUGGAUAGUGGACGUUACUCGCAGAAUAAGCACCGGCUAACUCUG